GAGUAAAAGUCGUAACAAGGUCUCCGUUGGUGAACCAGCGGAGGGAUCAUUACAGGACUCGCAAGACUCCUACAACCCUGUGAACUUAACUAUAAGCACGUUGCUUCGGCGGGUGUCUCGGAGGGGGUUCUCCCUCCCCGAGACGCUAAACCCGCCGGCAGCCUACUAUACUCUGUCUCUUUGCGUUGGCAUCUCGAGUACAAUCAAACAAGUUAAAACUUUCAACAACGGAUCUCUUGGUUCUG
rnacentral:misc_RNA from 1 species